AGUGAACGCUGGCGGCAGGCCUAACACAUGCAAGUCGAGCGGCAGCGGGUCCUUCGGGAUGCCGGCGAGCGGCGGACGGGUGAGGAAUACAUCGGAAUCUGCCCUGUCGUGGGGGAUAACCUAGGGAAACUUAGGCUAAUACCGCAUACGACCUACGGGUGAAAGCGGGGGAUCGCAAGACCUCGCGCGACAGGAUGAGCCGAUGUCCGAUUAGCUAGUUGGCGGGGUAAAGGCCCACCAAGGCGACGAUCGGUAGCUGGUCUGAGAGGAUGAUCAGCCACACUGGGACUGAGACACGGCCCAGACUCCUACGGGAGGCAGCAGUGGGGAAUAUUAGACAAUGGGCGCAAGCCUGAUCCAGCCAUGCCGCGUGGGUGAAGAAGGCCUUCGGGUUGUAAAGCCCUUUUGUCCGGGAAGAAAUCGUCUGGGCUAAUACCCCGGGCGGAUGACGGUACCGGAAGAAUAAGCACCGGCUAACUUCGUG
rnacentral:rRNA from 1 species